rnacentral:rRNA from 1 species
CAGUAGCCGCGGGAAUACGUAGGGUGCAAGCGUUAAUCGGAAUUACUGGGCGUAAAGCGUGCGCAGGCGGUUCGCUAAGACAGAUGUGAAAUCCCCGGGCUUAACCUGGGAACUGCAUUUGUGACUGGCGGGCUAGAGUAUGGCAGAGGGGGGUAGAAUUCCACGUGUAGCAGUGAAAUGCGUAGAGAUGUGGAGGAAUACCGAUGGCGAAGGCAGCCCCCUGGGCCAAUACUGACGCUCAUGCACGAAAGCGUGGGGAGCAAACAGGAUUAGAUACCCGUGUAGUCCCUGUCUCUUAUAA